rnacentral:rRNA from 1 species
AUUAGAACUCCGCAGUUAAGCGUGCUUGGGCGAGAGUAGUACUAGGAUGGGUGACCUCCUGGGAAGUCCUCGUGUUGUACCCC